GGGCACCACCAGGAGUGGAGCCUGCGGUUCCAUUUGCCUCAACACGGGGAAACUUACCAGGACCUG
rnacentral:rRNA from 14 species